GACGAACGCUGGCGGCGUGCUUAAUACAUGCAAGUCAACUUGACUUUAGAUAGCAAUAUCGAAAAGUAGGGUGGCGCACGGGUGCGUAACGCGUAGGUAAUCUGCCCUGAGGUCUGACAUAACCCGUCGAAAGGCGGGCUAACAUCAGAUGAUAUAUAAUCACGACAUCGUGGAAAUAUCAAAUCUUCGGAGCCUUGGGAUGAGCCUGCGUCUGAUUAGGUAGUUGGCGGAGUAAUAGCCCACCAAGCCUACGAUCAGUAGCUGGUCUGAGAGGAUGAUCAGCCACACUGGAACUGAGACACGGUCCAGACUCCUACGGGAGGCAGCAGUAAGGAAUAUUGCUCAAUGGGGGAAACCCUGAAGCAGCAACGCCGCGUGAAGGAUGAAAUACUUUUGUAUGUAAACUUCUGUAAGAUGGGAAAAAUAUUACUCCUCGGGAGAAUUGAUUGUACCAUCAGAGUAAGCCCCGGCUAACUACGUGCCAGCA
rnacentral:rRNA from 1 species